rnacentral:lncRNA from 1 species
UCUGGUUCCACCAAACUUUGUUCCAGGCCCUUUUUUUCUUUGCUGAUUUUACUUUGUAUCCUUUCACUGUAAUAAACCAUAACCCCUUCUCCCCUGCAUACUAAAUAAGGAGAUAAAUGCACUCAAGCAAGCAAGCAUUACCUGGAUUCCACGAGGUGAAAAAUAGCAUGGAGACCAUCACAAAGGAGAUCUGCCUCGAGGAAACUAUCAGACUGGCCCAGGAUGGAGAAUGAAGACAGCAAUUUGCUCUGUUCUCUAAAGCUCUGAUUCAAGUUCUCUAGUCUGCCGAAAAUAAAUAAAUAAAUAAUUUGACAU